UACGUAGGGGCCGAGCGUUGUCCGGAGUUAUUGGGCGUAAAGCGCGCGCAGGCGGCCUCGCGCGCCCGACGUGAAAGCCCCCGGCUUAACCGGGGAGGGUCGUUGGGGACGGCGGGGCUUGAGGGCGGGAGAGGUCGGUGGAAUUCCCGGUGUAGUGGUGAAAUGCGUAGAGAUCGGGAGGAACACCUGUGGCGAAGGCGGCCGACUGGGCCGACCCUGACGCUGAGGAGCGAAAGCAUGGGGGAGCGAACAGG
rnacentral:rRNA from 1 species